GCUCCGCCGCCUCUGUUGGAAGCCUACAGUAUGUACAAACGCAGACACGAGCGCGCGUUCACGCGCAAGGCGGCACCACAAACACCUCCUCACCCGAAGCGUUCUUCUUGGCAGGCAGAUCUUUUAAUGCCCUCCGGACAUUUUUCAUAACCGAGCUGUCUCUCCUGUAAACAUUCAGGGAAUUCAAGAAUGUGUCGCCCCAGGCCGAGGUGGGGUUUAUCAGAGCGCCUGCCUUCACUUUGUAGUGUGUUGCUGUGAGAAGGGUUUUAGUCUUAGCCGUAGCGUCUUUAGUCUUAGCGUUGCAGUAAGUACACGGGAAUCCCUUUAUUCAAGAAGAUUUAUUUGCCUUUUUUUUGCCAGCCCGAGUAGUUUAUAGUAACAUUUGAAGUGCGGUAGUACAUUCGAUAUUGUGCGGUGCUUAAAACAUUGAAAAGUAGUAGCUGAUGAGUCAAUUGUUUUCUUUCACGGCCCCGUAAGAAGUUUGUGUCAAAACAAAAGUCAUUGUUGGUUUGCGUCGUUUGACGACUUGCAUCAUAUUUCAACAACGACUUGCCAGAAGGCUCUUACAGGACUAGUAGAAGAAGCUCAUAUGGUCUAAUGAGACGAGAAUUGACAUUAUCAACCAUAAUGCUUCGAGCUAUGUCUGGCGGAAGCGUAGCGUGGCAAACACUACAAUAGUAGCACACCUGCCAUCAGGACUCUCAGUGCAUAGGUAUAGAAAAUUUGGACAGGAGGAGAAAGACAAAAAUCAGCUCAGUCAAAGCACAUAGUUAAAUGAAAUCAAGAAUGCAUUCCCACUAUUGACAAAUGCUGUUUUAUCAACUUUUGGCCAUUCAACAUCAACAACGCUUUGCAAAAACUGACCUACAAAAACACAAGUGCCCAGGUGACUCUGAUAUUUGCCUAAGGUGUUUAUGCCAAAUGCUUUCUGAAGGGAGUCAUGGGGAGCCAGACUGUUAUUGCUGCACUAGCUGUAUGGUGGAAGAGAUCCUGGAUGUUAAAACCAGUCUGUGAAAGAGCAUGCUCAUGCAAACACAUUGAACUAAUGUUAGAGUUGCUAUCUGGAGAAAAUCUACCUGAAUGCUGAGAUAAUAAACUUCAAAGAGACAACAACUGGGGAUGCACCUCAGGAGCAGGAUCCCCAACAGGAGCAGAAGAUGGGGGAGAAGUGAAACAAAAGGACAGCUGCUGUACAGGCUUUUAAAUGUUUG